UCAUAGAAUUUCUUUAAAUUCAUGAUGUCGUAAGGGAAAAUAAUGAUAAUACCUUACUAUGAGUGUCGUCCAAAUCUGGUGCCAGAAGACUCGGUAAGACCAGAGACGCAAACGUUAAUCAUCAUAAACAGGCGUAAAGGGUUUGUAGGCAGCUUUUAUAAGGUUAUGAUUUUAACAAAAUAUAAAAUAAUCUACAUUGAAAGCUAGAAUCAAAAAGAGGUUAUAGUGUAUAACGCCUAGAGGAGGGCUGAUAUCCAUAGAUCCUAGGCAGAAUACUCAGGGCGAAGGCCACUCUCCAUUAAUGAUUGACGCUGAGAAACGAAGGUUAGGGUAGGAAAUAGGAUUAGAUACCCCGGUACUCCUUUCUGUAAACGAUGAAUGGUAGUCAUUAGUUUAAUUAAAAUAACUAGAGGCGAAGUUAACACAAUAACCAUUCCGCCUUGUGAGUACUACUGCAAAGUAGAAAACAAAAAAAUUAGUCGGUCUCGAAGCAAACGGAGUGAAGCAUGUUAUUUA
rnacentral:rRNA from 1 species